rnacentral:sRNA from 1 species
ACACAGGGAAGGAGGUGGUCCGACAAAUUGAUCGACUCAUGGACAUGUGAGGUGGCUGCGAGCUAGCAGCGCCAGGGGACGGUCCUCCGCCUGCGCGCGCCGGCGAAUCCCCCGCAGCCACCCGGCCCCCGAGCCCCUCGGUCUUGUCCAACCAGGAACUACGGCUCGGGGGCCGCUCCAU